UACGUCGGGUGCGAGCGUUGAUCGGAAUUACUGGGCGUAAAGCGUUUGUAGGUGGCUUUUCAAGUCCGCCGUCAAAUCCCAGGGCUCAACCCUGGACAGGCGGUGGAAACUACCAAGCUGGAGUACGGUAGGGGCAGAGGGAAUUUCCGGUGGAGCGGUGAAAUGCAUUGAGAUCGGAAAGAACACCAACGGCGAAAGCAGUCUGCUGGGCCGACACUGACACUGAGAGACGAAAGCUAGGGGAGCGAAUGGG
rnacentral:rRNA from 1 species